AGAGUUUGAUCAUGGCUCAGGAUGAACGCUAGCUACAGGCUUAACACAUGCAAGUCGAGGGGAAACGACAUCGAAAGCUUGCUUUUGAUGGGCGUCGACCGGCGCACGGGUGAGUAACGCGUAUCCAACCUGCCCACCACUUGGGGAUAACCUUGCGAAAGUAAGACUAAUACCCAAUGACGUCUCUAGAAGACAUCUGAAGGAGAUUAAAAGAUUUAUCGGUGAUGGAUGGGGAUGCGUCUGGAUUAGCUUGUUGGCGGGGUAACGGCCACCAAGGCGACGAUCAGUAGGGGUCUGAGAGGAAGGUCCCCCANAUUGGAACUGAGACACGGUCAAACUCCUACGGGAGCA
rnacentral:rRNA from 1 species